AUUGAACGCUGGCGGCAGGCUUAACACAUGCAAGUCGAGCGGGGGAAGGUAGCUUGCUACCGGACCUAGCGGCGGACGGGUGAGUAAUGCUUAGGAAUCUGCCUAUUAGUGGGGGACAACAUCUCGAAAGGGAUGCUAAUACCGCAUACGUCCUACGGGAGAAAGCAGGGGAUCUUCGGACCUUGCGCUAAUAGAUGAGCCUAAGUCGGAUUAGCUAGUUGGUGGGGUAAAGGCCUACCAAGGCGACGAUCUGUAGCGGGUCUGAGAGGCAGCUCCGCCACACUGGGACUGAGACACGGCCCAGACUCCUACGGGGGGCAGCAGUGGGGAAUAUUGGACAAUGGGGUGAACCCUGAUCCAGCCAUGCCGCGUGUGUGAAGAAGGCCUUAUGGUUGUAAAGCACUUUAAGCGAGGAGGAGGCUACUCUAGUUAAUACCUAGGGAUAGUGGACGUUACUCGCAGAAUAAGCACCGGCUAACUCUGUGCCAGCCGCCGCCGUAA
rnacentral:rRNA from 1 species